UUCUCAACAGAAGGCUUUCAAGCAUGUGGGGUCUCAUGGUUCAAGACAUUUGGAAAUCUCUGGUCUCUGACAGCCAGCAGCCAGUCAUCCAUAUUCUGUCUCUCAUGAAUAAAGUUAGAUAAUCCAAAGUCUCCAGCAACUUCUUCUCCCGGGUGAAAUCCAGGGCAAAAGUGUCAAACGUGUCCGUCAAGUUUAUCUCAGGAAUCAACACCUGGGAAGAUGCUGUUGCCAUGGAAACUCUGGGGAGAAAAACAUGUCAUUCAUGGAAGCGGGCAUGGUCGGUCUCCUUCAGCGUCUGGUCAGCUUGAGUGAUGAGGGCGGAGGAUCGCUCGAUGCACUGCUUGCAGUUGGAAAUCUGCUGGGCCAGUUUUCGCAGACGCACCACCUGAGUGCAGGAGCAGGA